UUUUUUAUUGGUCGUCAUGAAAAAAAUCAUAAGGGGUAACACUGUUGUUUUUUAUUGGUCUUCAUGAAAAAAAACAUAAGGGGUAACACUGUCGUUUUUAUCAAAUGAAACAUGAGGGGUGACACUGUCGUAUUCCUUUGGUAGUCAUGAAAAAAACGAUACGGGGUAACACUGUUGUUUUUUAUUGGUCGUCAUGAAAAAAAACAUAAGGGGUAACACUGUUGUUUUUUAUUGGUCGUCGUGAAAAACAACAUAAGGGGUAACACUGUUGUUUUUUAUUGGUCGUCAUGAAAAAAAAACAUAAGGGGUAACACUGUUGUUUUUUAUUGGUCGUCGUGAAAAAAACAUAAGGGGUAACACUGUUGUUUUUUAUUGGUCGUCAUGAAAAAAAACAAGGGGUAACACUGUUGUUUUUUUAUUGGUCGUCAUGAAAAAACAUAUAAGGGGUAACACUGUUGUUUUUAUUGGUCGUCAUGAAAAAAAACAUAAGGGGUAACACUGUCGUUUUUUAUUGGUCGUCAUGAAGAAAAACAUAAGGGGUAACACUGUCGAUAUUUAUUAAUUAAAACAUAGGGGGUAACACUUUCGUUUUUAUCAAAUGAAACAUGAGGGGUGACACUGUCGUUUUUCUUUGGUCGUCAUGAAAAAAUACAUUGGGGGUAACACAGUUGUCUUUGUCAAAUAAAAUAUAAGGGGUAACACUGUCGUAUUUUAUCGAAGUUAGAAAAUCCAGUAUCGUGACUGACAACACUACUAGAAACGCGAUUGUGAUUAUUCAGUUAGAGCUACAAGAAACUUGAAAGUUAAAGAAGACAUAUCUUUGCUACUACCUCUGACAUUUAGUUAUGUACAUUUGCAUAAAAUCAUGCAGGUCUACAUAUAACUUGGCGAUAGCUUUAAUAGGUUGCAACGGUGGACUGAUAUCACUUCAUGGCACGAUGUGACCUCUCGAUAAAUAAGGAAAAAAAGAGAAGUUUGUUCUUUUUUAAACACAACAUGUGUGGAAGCUAACAUUCAGCUUCAGUCUGAGCUAGGAUGAUUUUUCUAAGCCCCCCCCGAAACCAGGCCGGGUGCCUGGCAAAAAGAGGCCCGUUCAUGAUUCUGAUUAUAAUUUGGGCAAGUGAACAUUACAUUCGGGCAAGUUGAACCUGACCUGUACUUGCCCGAUGGGCAAGUGCUUUUAAAACCUUAGUGUCAACCCCAGAUUGUGUUUAUUUCCUUUAGUACAUAGUAUAAAGUGGAGUGGAAAGCACAAGAUUAAGAGUAAUAAAAUCUGGAACUUAAAUCGGUCGAUUCAAUCAUACUAUACUGCAGCAGUCAAAAAAUGAGAUCCAUCAUUUAAAUUCCACAUUUAUUAGAACAAAGAUUCUACUAAACCUUUUUAUUUUUCUUCAAAGUCUCCUUCAACCUAUGGUUUGUGGCGUUGCAUAGGUAUUCUACCUAAAGAGUUAUUCGGUCAUGGGUCAAGAAAGAACAAGGACAAUACAUUCAGGAUAUCGAGUGUGAACAGAAGUGAAAUUAACGUUUGAUCAAAUUAAGACAAAUGGAUGUGUGUGUGUGUGGCGUGUAUUCUAAUGCGGACACCUUCUCUCCGUCUCACAUCUCACAUCAGCAUUUCCUUCUUUUAAAAAAGUGCUUGCUAGUUUCAUAUAAAGCUAGUGUUCAUGAACAAUGGAACACAGUGGUUGUUGCCUGGCAGUUUGUUGGUACCUGUGAUUACAGGUUGACGACUUUAGAUUCGACAGCAGAGUGUACCGACGUUGUGUUGAAACAAAAAUGGUUGAGAAGUAUAUAGGUUUAGGUACAUGUCCCUACCUAAACAUCACCAAUUCGGGAAGGAAUCGAGCAAUGCUUGUCUCUAGGUCCCUGCAUUGCUUUGUCCACUAACACUGAAUAAACAACAAACUGACCUACAUUUUCCUUCUCACCGUCAUAAGAAUAUUCGAGAAAUUGUUAAAAAUACCACAAAGCAAAGGGUUACAUUUUUUGGCAAUGGCAGGAAUACAUGGUGAAAGAAAAAAGGCAUGUGGAUAAGCGUAUUCAGGACUCAAGUUGUAAAUAGAUUACUGGAAACAUCUCCUUACACACGUGGCUUCCCUCUUUAAUACUCUGGGGAGCUUAAUGCCUUCUUUCAUCUUCCUGCAGCCAAACAGUGGCUCCCUCGAGUGGGGUAGUGGGGGUCGUGUCCCUCCCUGUAUGCAUCCCCUCCUAUGCAUGUUCAAAAUAUCUCUGGGCUUCAUCCAACAGAGAUAUAUUUGCAUCGCCGAGCGUGAGCUGAGUGCACCCUCUGCCUAAUCACCUCUAUGCUACGCAGAGGAUACACACACACACACACACUCGAACACACACACACUCGAACACAGAGGACCCCCCCCCUCAGGGUAAACGUAAUAUUGUGUAUUGCACAGGAAGUGUGUCUGUGUGUGUGUGCAUGGUAUUAUUACAUAGCUAAUGCCUGUGAUUAGAGGGUGAACGUAGUUGGAAAACAAGGGUGCAUUAGGAAGGGGUGGGAACCGAGGCAUUUCCCUUGAUGAAAAUAAAUUACUAGGCUGAUGAAAGCUCACCGUGGCACAAUAACAGACAUGGAGACAACACACUGCCGUCCACGUCGUGUGCAAAAUCAAUGAGACCCUAGUACCAACAUCGUGGUGUGACCGGGUACAUUCAUGUUCUAGCGGUUAAAAAUAAAAUAAAAUAAAAACAUCCACAAACGGUGAGGUGUCCGGUUUUGCCGCCGGCCUCGAUGACAAAGCGGCGGCCAUUUUGUUGUUGACGCGCGGAGGCGUGCGCUCGGAGGAACCACGUUGAGCCUGGCGACGACAACGCUUUGUGUGUGAGACGCACAUCUGCCGUCCCCCGGGCAGAUCUGUGAUGGCGGCCUUGCCAAGCGGUUAGAUUUGGAUUUGUUUUAAAGCUGCAUGACAACGAAAGGCUUUGGAAUGUGAAAAAAUAGACACUGAGUGCGCACACACACACACACACACACGCACGCACGUGAGGAGAGCAGCACAAACACCGGUGGCGAAUGUCUUUGAGUGCGCAAGAAAAAAAAACUAAAUAUAUAUAGAAAUACUCUCACGCGAUACUAUCAUAUAAAAAUGUAUACUAUAUUUGUCUGAUAAAGAACCCUGCAACGAGAAUCACCGAUACAGUGAUGACCCCCCCCUUCCCCCAACCCCGCCCAAACCAUUUGGCACCUGGUUCCCUUCCACGUUCCUCCUCAGUGUCUUUGCCAUCAGAGUGGAGGAGGAGGAGGGUGGGGCGAAGGGUUUUUAUUGAUAGUCCAGGGGGUAGUGGAGGUGCUGCGGUCAGGGAGACUUCCGCAGUGUGUUGUUGAAGGUCCAGCCUUCUCCCUGCACAUCGAGGGAAGAGGAGAGAGUUGGUGAACUGAGAAAAUAUAUUUUCAGUAUUUUGUUUCGUUUUAGCAGGUCACAAUUUUUUUGGACGUCUUCUCAACUUGGAUCGCUGCAGAGUUUGACAGAACGCUACGAUUGCCUCGGCUCAUUAUUUUAUCCUCGUACUCCAAUCUGCGCGGAGUUCACGGACGGUGGGGCACACAAAUUGAAACUCGGGAGCUGCUUUCGUGAUAAUAUCUUGUCGACGGAAAAGUGAUAGUGAAACGUUUUGAGGAACAAACCGAGGAGAGCAGACAACUUGUUGGAGGGGAAUUUGGAAAAUGUCACUAUUUGGAAUGUCUCAAAGUCAUGUCGGAAACAUCAC
ensembl:lncRNA